UACGUAGGGUGCGAGCGUUGUCCGGAAUUAUUGGGCGUAAAGAGCUCGUAGGCGGUCUGUCGCGUCGGCUGUGAAAUCCCGAGGCUCAACCUCGGGUCUGCAGUCGAUACGGGCAAACUAGAGUAUUGCAGGGGAGACUGGAAUUCCUGGUGUAGCGGUGAAAUGCGCAGAUAUCAGGAGGAACACCGGUGGCGAAGGCGGCUACCUGGACAGUCACUGACGCUGAGACGCGAAAGCGUGGGGAGCAAACAGG
rnacentral:rRNA from 1 species